UGGGUAGGGGAGCGUUCUGUAAGCCUGUGAAGGUGGCCUGUGAGGGUUGCUGGAGGUAUCAGAAGUGCGAAUGCUGACAUAAGUAACGAUAAAGCGGGUGAAAAGCCCGCUCGCCGGAAGACCAAGGGUUCCUGUCCAACGUUAAUCGGGGCAGGGUGAGUCGACCCCUAAGGCGAGGCCGAAAGGCGUAGUCGAUGGGAAACGGGUUAAUAUUCCCGUACUUGGUGUUACUGCGAAGGGGGGACGGAGAAGGCUAUGUUGGCCGGGCGACGGUUGUCCCGGUUUAAGCGUGUAGGUGUGUGUUCCAGGUAAAUCCGGUUCACUUUAACACUGAGGCGUGACGACGAGGCACUACGGUGCUGAAGCAACAAAUGCCCUGCUUCCAGGAAAAGCCUCUAAGCAUCAGGUAACAUCAAAUCGUACCCCAAACCGACACAGGUGGUCAGGUAGAGAAUACCAAGGCGCUUGAGAGAACUCGGGUGAAGGAACUAGGCAAAAUGGUGCCGUAACUUCGGGAGAAGGCACGCUGACAUGUAGGUGAAGUGAUUUACUCACGGAGCUGAAGUCAGUCGAAGAUACCAGCUGGCUGCAACUGUUUAUUAAAAACACAGCACUGUGCAAACACGAAAGUGGACGUAUACGGUGUGACGCCUGCCCGGUGCCGGAAGGUUAAUUGAUGGGGUCAGCGCAAGCGAAGCUCCUGAUCGAAGCCCCGGUAAACGGCGGCCGUAACUAUAACGGUCCUAAGGUAGCGAAAUUCCUUGUCGGGUAAGUUCCGACCUGCACGAAUGGCGUAAUGAUGGCCAGGCUGUCUCCACCCGAGACUCAGUGAAAUUGAACUCGCUGUGAAGAUGCAGUGUACCCGCGGCAAGACGGAAAGACCCCGUGAACCUUUACUAUAGCUUGACACUGAACAUUGAGCCUUGAUGUGUAGGAUAGGUGGGAGGCUUUGAAGUGUGGACGCCAGUCUGCAUGGAGCCGACCUUGAAAUACCACCCUUUAAUGUUUGAUGUUCUAACGUGGACCCGUAAUCCGGGUUGCGGACAGUGUCUGGUGGGUAGUUUGACUGGGGCGGUCUCCUCCUAAAGAGUAACGGAGGAGCACGAAGGUUGGCUAAUCCUGGUCGGACAUCAGGAGGUUAGUGCAAUGGCAUAAGCCAGCUUGACUGCGAGCGUGACGGCGCGAGCAGGUGCGAAAGCAGGUCAUAGUGAUCCGGUGGUUCUGAAUGGAAGGGCCAUCGCUCAACGGAUAAAAGGUACUCCGGGGAUAACAGGCUGAUACCGCCCAAGAGUUCAUAUCGACGGCGGUGUUUGGCACCUCGAUGUCGGCUCAUCACAUCCUGGGGCUGAAGUAGGUCCCAAGGGUAUGGCUGUUCGCCAUUUAAAGUGGUACGCGAGCUGGGUUUAGAACGUCGUGAGACAGUUCGGUCCCUAUCUGCCGUGGGCGCUGGAGAACUGAGGGGGGCUGCUCCUAGUACGAGAGGACCGGAGUGGACGCAUCACUGGUGUUCGGGUUGUCAUGCCAAUGGCACUGCCCGGUAGCUAAAUGCGGAAGAGAUAAGUGCUGAAAGCAUCUAAGCACGAAACUUGCCCCGAGAUGAGUUCU
rnacentral:rRNA from 1 species